rnacentral:rRNA from 1 species
UGUUUAUUCGAAGCAACGCGCAGGAACCUACCAGCUUCAUUAGGACGACUUCCAGAGAUGGAUUUCUUCCCUUCGGGGACUACACACAGGUAUGCAUGCGUGUCAGCUCGUGUCGUGAGAUGUUGGGUUAAGUCCGCACGAGCGCAACCCUCGACUUUAGUUCCAUCAUUAAGUGGGUACUUAAAGUACCCCGGUGAUAAGCCGGAGGAAGGUGGGGAUGACGUCAAGUCCUCAUGCCCCAUACGCGCUGGGCUACACACGUGCUACAAUGGCAAGUACAGUGGGCAGCUAUCCCGCGAGGGUGAGCUAAUCUCCAAACUUGUCUCAGUUGGAUUGUUCUCUCACCUC